UUGGUCACCAAGAACGGGGCUCAGACCACUCGCUGGUACUCCGGAGCCCCUGCUGUCACGUUCGGACAGUGCCCGUAUUGUCCGAGGUGGUUAAGAAGAUCGGUAAGUUGAAGAGCUGCACCAAGAAUUACCCAAAUUGUGUGGUGACGGAGGUCAACAGGUUCCUCCGUUCACGGGCUCCGUCGUGGCCGGCUUCGUCGUCGUGCUUACAGAUCCGGCGCUGAUGUCGUCAAUAACAGCACCGUGUCACCAGCUUCGACGUAGUUUCACCGUCUUCGGCGCGUCACCUUCGUGGUAUCACGAUUAAGGGCUGCGUAAACACUGCCAGAUCACUUCUUGACAAAGCUUAGAAUUCUUACGGUCUGCAAAUUCCAAUGUCUGUUUCGGGAAGCCCACACGCGCAGCGGGAGAAGAUGUAGCAGGUGUCCGCCUCCUUCGAAAAACUAACUGAUCUUAAACUGCGGUACACCUCUGGGUAUCCAGCGUUGAUGUUCUGUAGCCAAGUCAUUGUGACUGCACUGGCUCCGAUGCUGUGCAUCAAAAACCGUCGCGGAGCAUAUGUGCUACGUAACCGCCUAUUUGUCUCAGGUACGAUGCUGGGAGCUCUAGCAUGGCAUAGCGAUCUCCUCCGCCAGGUCAAGUUUGUUGGUAUGUUUCCUGUUCAGAAAAAUGUGGUGUACCGUGUACAGUCAACUCAGAGAUGCAACUUGUGUGUGCUCGUUAAAGUGUACUUUGUUGCAGGCAUGGGUUAUGCGACAUUCUAUAUGAACCAUUGAGUCACUAAUAAAUGCUGUGACGCAUGGUGCAUUGUGCUUCGAUGUGUAUCUACGUUGUUUCUGAAAGAAGGCGACAUCGGAAACUACACAAU